GCUGUGAACCAGGAACUGGCUGGUCCUGGGAGCACAAAGAUGAGGAGAACAUGGUGCCUGUUCUUGAGGAGGGUGUGUGCAUGUGUGUGUGAGCAUGUGUGUGUGUGUGUGUGUGUGUGUGUGUGUGUGUUGUGUUGUUUUAGGGGUAUGUUUCUGCUGCACUGAGGAGGUUUGACCUCAGGGAAACUACCAGAGGGAAUGGUGUCUGAAGAGAAUCUUUAGGGCCAAAUAGGAAUUGCCCAAGUGGAAGGACAGGUGGAUACAUUGAGGAAGCAGAACUGAAGACGGAGCCCAGUCUUCUGAUUCCAGUUUAGAACUUUUUCCAUUGUUCUACUGUUACUCAUAGGAGGGAAGAUAUUUUUCCUCAGUUGGUGAGUCCUACGCAGAAAAGACUCUACCCUUUUGUAAUCAAUAUGCAUAUUUCAAUGAGUUUUAAAAGUCAGUGGUUUUCUCUUAAAGCAUGGGCACUGGUACCUGGGAUAGACUAAGAACUAAGAAGAACAAAAUGUUCUUCCUUUCUUCUGGAAUGGAUUUCAUUGGUGAUGGACAAGAUAUAAUACUUAUAAAAUGUGUGGCAAAGCAAAGGCAGACUCAGCUCUUGGAAGGUGGCAGGAAGAGAAAUUGGAAGAGGACUUUGGGUUGCCAAUAAUUACAUUACUUCCUUCUUUCUCCUUUGGCAUGGAGGGAAGUGUUCUUAAAAUUGAAUGACCAGAAAGUCUCAAUGAACAGUGUUAUGGGCAUUUGCGAGGAAAAGAGGCAGUAGUAUGGAAUGGCUAACCCCUGUGCAAGUUGUUUUUUCUGUGUUUUAUAGCAUUUUCACAACAACCCUUUGAGGUGGUGGAGGCUAAAUUUGCUUAGGCAAGGGUAUACACCUGUGCCUUUAAAGGGCCUGCGUGGGCUCCAUGGGGAUCUGAGUUUGAAUCCUCUUGCAUACUCAGAAAGGGGACUGGUGAGCAGGUAAGGUAAGCUUUCUUUUGUGUUUUGGAAUCCUCUGUGUUUAUAGCAGGUGGAAUAGAACAUCAUGUCCUAGAGAAGAAUCAGUGACAUGGGAUUUCCUGGGCUGUUAGGGAAUCGAAGGAAAAUAGCUGGGGGAUUCUGGGAAAGGCUUCUAUUUAGAAUUCUAGAUCUGUGCUCACCAUCCCCAGUGCUGCUCCCUAUGUGCCCUACCUCUAGCUUUUUGCCAGAUAAAUAAUAUAACUUGCCAUGUUUAUGGUGCAGUUUUUCAAAAGAGCAUGGAGGCUGUUGUGAUGUGAUCCAUAAGACCUAACUUCAUUUAGAAGUGUGGCUGAGUUUAUAGUUACAUUUUGCACACUUUUUUGUUCUUAAUCAGUGUAUCUUAAAAGAACACCCGACUUUCUUUGUGCCUAUGGAUCUGCAUAAGAUAAAAGGCUGGAAGCCACUGCUUUGACUCUUAAACAUUUCAAGUCUGUUAACAUUUCAAACAGAGUCUGGAAUGUUUUGCCCCAAGCAUACACUUUGAGCAUCAGAUGUAAAUCUUUGUUAUCUGCUCCACCUCCUGAGUGUUUUCAGUGCUUAAAGUUAAAUUGUGAUGAAUAUGAGGCCUUGUGUGUCAUGACAGAGUGGGAGAGAGCAUCUUAACUGGAGCAAGUUGGAAGAGACUGAGAUGGGUCUGCUGUCUGUAAGCUAAUUAUGAGCCUAGAGUGGCCUUUGUCUCCGAGACACCAAAGCAGCCUCAGAUUGCAUUAUAGAGAAAAUCCUGCUGAGUCCAGGGAGCCCAGUGGAUUGGUGAACCUCAGGCCCGUUUUUAGCAGGACCUGGGCUCUGUUCUCUGCAGUGCUCCUUGUUCUACCCUCUUAUAUUCUGGUGGCUUCAUCCUCAGGAUGUUCCCCCGCACCCCUGUGGUCAUGAGCUGGCUGCCUGCUGUCGCCUGGCAGCUCAGAGCAGCUACACAGUGGAGAAGAGGUAGUCCCUCCAAGGAAUACCAGGUGAGGUUAGCAGGCAGAGAGAGGACUAAAGCUUUGUGGACGACUACAAACCUUCUUUUUUACCCUCUCGUUGGAGUUCUCCUAGAGUGUUGGACUUUAGUUCUUGCCUCUGCCUCCAAAAGGGACAUUAACCAACUGGUCUCUCCACACUAGGAUGCUGAAAGUACCAGAAGUGAUCUCCCACCAGGAACCGUUACUGAAAUGAGACCUGGAAAAGGCAGGAUGCAGGGUACACAGGACAAUUGCCUUUAAGAAUAUAAAAUGUGGGGAGUUCCUGUUGUGGCUCAGUGGAAACAAGUCUUAUUGGUAUCCAUGAAGAUGAGUGUUUGAUCCCUGGCCUCACUCAGUGGGUUAAAAUCCUGCUUUGCCGUGAGCUGUGCUGUAGUUUGCAGAUGUGGCUCCUAUUCUGCAUUGCUGUGACUGUGGCAUAGGCCGGUAGCUGCAGCUCCAAUUUGACUCCUUGCCUGGGAACUUCCAUAUGCCACAGGUGUGGCCCUAAAAAGCAAAAAAAAAAAAAAAAAAAGCAAAAAAAAA
rnacentral:lncRNA from 1 species